GACGAACGCUGGCGGCGUGCUUAACACAUGCAAGUCGAACGGAAAGGCCCUGCUUUUGUGGGGUGCUCGAGUGGCGAACGGGUGAGUAACACGUGAGUAACCUGCCCUUGACUUUGGGAUAACUUCAGGAAACUGGGGCUAAUACCGGAUAGGAGCACCUGCUGCAUGGUGGGGGUUGGAAAGUUUCGGCGGUUGGGGAUGGACUCGCGGCUUAUCAGCUUGUUGGUGGGGUAGUGGCUUACCAAGGCUUUGACGGGUAGCCGGCCUGAGAGGGUGGCCGGCCACAUUGGGACUGAGAUACGGCCCAGACUCCUACGGGAGGCAGCAGUGGGGAAUAUUGCACAAUGGGCGGAAGCCUGAUGCAGCAACGCCGCGUGCGGGAUGACGGCCUUCGGGUUGUAAACCGCUUUCGCCUGUGACGAAGCGUGAGUGACGGUAAUGGGUAAAGAAGCACCGGCUAACUACGUG
rnacentral:rRNA from 1 species